GUCGAGCUAAGUAACAAUAGCUUGUAACCCAUGUGGGGACAUUAAGAUGGUGGGACACUGGUUCGGUUCCUCGGAUCGGUUCUGAUGUGGGCAUGUUUCUGAGCUGCCCAGUCCAAGCUGUGAGUAAUUAGUGUUGAGUUGAGCGAAGGCUUGGCUCAUGCAGGUUCUAGAGUCGGAGGGUAAUGCGUGAGGCUGGCUUCACAGAGCAGCGACUACUUCCCGCUUACAGCAGUGGACGGAUCACGGUUUAGCGUCGCUCAGAACCACUAUGGCCUGCUGGUCCGAUCUCAUAUGAACCACCAUUUU
rnacentral:SRP_RNA from 14 species